GAUUAACGCUGGCGGCGUGCCUAACACAUGCAAGUCGAGCGGCAGCGAGUUUUACACUGACUUCUGGAAGCUUCUAGUUGAAAGAGAAGAUUUAUUCAAGAAUUUUGUGUAAAAUGUCGGCGAGCGGCGGACGGCUGAGUAACGCGUGGGAACGUACCCCAAGGUGAGGGAUAACGCAUCGAAAGGUGUGCUAAUACCGCAUAUGGUCUUCGGAUUAAAGCCUUCGGGCGCUUUGGGAACGGCCUGCGUAAGAUUAGAUAGUUGGUGGGGUAAUGGCCUACCAAGUCGACGAUCUUUAACUGGUUUGAGAGGAUGAUCAGUCAGACUGGAACUGAGACACGGUCCAGACUCCUACGGGAGGCAGCAGUGAGGAAUCUUCCACAAUGGGCGAAAGCCUGAUGGAGCAACGCCGCGUGCAGGAUGAAGGCCUUCGGGUUGUAAACUGCUUUUAUAAGUGAGGAUUAUGACAGUAACUUAUGAAUAAGGAUCGGCUAACUACGUG
rnacentral:rRNA from 1 species